GGGACUUGUUGUAAAAGGUUUUACAUUUUGAUUGCAAAUCAAACAUAAGAGGUUCAAUUCCUCCUUGUCUCU
rnacentral:tRNA from 1 species